CAAAUAUAUUGUAUUGCUUCCACAAUUAC
rnacentral:piRNA from 1 species